UCCGGUUUGUCACCGGCAGUCUCGCAUGAGUCCCCAGCUUUACCUGCUGGCAACAUGCGACGAGGGUUGCGCUCGUUGCGGGACUUAACCCAACAUCUCACGACACGAGCUGACGACAGCCAUGCACCACCUGUACACCGACAAAAGGGGCGCCAUCUCUGACGCUUUCCGGUGUAUGUCAAACCCAGGUAAGGUUCUUCGCGUUGCAUCGAAUUAAUCCACAUGCUCCGCUGCUUGUGCGGGUCCCCGUCAAUUCCUUUGAGUUUUAGCCUUGCGGCCGUACUCCCCAGGCGGGGCACUUAAUGCGUUAGCUCCGGCACGGGAGGAGUCGACACCUCCCACACCUAGUGCCCAUCGUUUACGGCGUGGACUAC
rnacentral:misc_RNA from 1 species